UAACCAGCUGAGCCACCCAGGAGCCCCUGUUUUGUUUUUGUUUUAAUCAUUUUCUUAUUUAUUUUUGUGAGUAGGAGGCCACGGUAUAAUUUCUGUUAGGAGAUACUCCAUGCAAGUUAAGGAAGACUUACAAGGAAGCCUGAGGAGUUUAUGACAAUUCCUCCAUCUUGGUUUCCUGAUGCUGAGACUUGUUUGAGGAUGUCUGACUCCGUGAAUAAGCUCCAUCUAAAGAUACACCUAUCAUCUUCAUACAUUCAAAAGGCCCCACCUUGCACUGUGGGAAUGAGGGCCUAGUGAACACUCAUGCUGCACAACCAGUGUGCCCUUGCCUGUCCUUUUGAAAUGUCUUCAACUUGUUGGGACAGAAUUGCCAGUGUUGCCUAGGAUGGGCGUGUAUGGGACUCUACAAACAACCCAACAUCAGGGCUAGUCUAAGGCAAGAUGGGAAGUAGAUUGAAUUUGUCUUUGCACCUCAGCUUUGCUAUUCUUUGCCCUACCUGUGACUGUCCCCUGCACUCCUCUUGCAGCUUCUGCCUUUGUCUAUCAGUGCCCCACUGAGACCCUUUCUCCCAGAACCAUACUUAGUGCAUGGGGCCUUUCUUGUUCUCUCCUUGUUCGUAUGGGUGUGUUCCUGUGUGCCACACUGUGGUUGACUGAUCCUUGAUAAGGUGAUAAUAGGUUCAGUAAUAGGUUCCAGGGCCUGUGAGAUGAUAUUUCAGAGAACCACAGAACCCUGUGGCUGGAUGAAGGCUCAGUGUUGCACUGUGGGUGGGAGACUCCUUUUGAAGUUGACCUGCCUGGGUUGUUCACCCUGACAUUUAACGUUAGCAAGCUAGUUGUUUCACCUCUCUGAACUUCACUUUCUUCCUCUGUAAAAUGAGGGUUAUGACCUUUCCUUCUGAGGGGAGUGGUCUGGAUUAUAUGGGAUAUGUAGCUAACACAUGGGGCGUAGUGGCAAGCAUAUAGUAAGUUCAGUAAGUACAUGAGGGUUCCUUUACUUAAAAAAGACUUAGAGUGGAGUGGAAGGAAAGAUAGAAAUCAUCUCAUCUAACCUCUUGGAGAAACACAUCAACUGUAACCUAGGAAAGUGAUUCCAGAUGCAGAGGGAGAAACCUGCGGCUGAGCCCUUUGAUUCAGAGCUGUGGGCUGCAUCUAUCCUCAGGGCCAGCCUCAGUUCACGUCUGAUCUUGCUGCGUAUGAUCCAGUGAUAGCAUCUUUGGACCUGAACACCCAAAAUGUUCCUGAAAGGGACCUACUUCCCACAGAAAGGCAGCCAGCCACCUGGACACCAGAUUUGUUUUUAAUAUUAACAACCCUGAUCUUUUAAAAAUACCUUUGAGGAUAUACUGAAUCCGUUUUGUCUGGUUUCCUUCUCUCCUGACAGGGCCUCUCUUUUUUUCUCCACACCCACCUCUUGGCCACCCUCUCAUCCCGGCAGCUGCAGGGAAGAUUUCUUUCCAGCUGUCUAUCAAGUCUUCAAAAGCCAGCCGGAAUGUAAUUGUAAUCUAUUUUUCCACCCCUGAAUGGUAGUGGGUGAAAAACACACACACAUUGCUCAAAAUUGCAAGGCGAUGAGAGCCAGAGCUGCCUCGUGACUCACACAGAGCCCUGCAUGGAUAAUUACUGCCAUUCAUUACUGGCCCAGGAAAGAACACAAGGAUCCAAUUGGGUUUUAGUGAACCAGAAGCCUAAUGGAUAAGGGGGAAGAAGGGGCCUCUGCUCCCUCCCUAUUGCCUCCCCCUCUAAUAUCCCCUCAUCCAAUACAUACUCAUAUGCCAUUCUCAGAAAAAUAACAUCCUGCUGGCUAUUCUCUUCCCAGCUCACAUCUUUUAUUAUGCUUACUUAAUGUGCAGUUUAACAUGGGUACUGUGGCCAGAUUCUGAUAAGCACUUCUCUGCAGAAUACCUCAAUAACCUGAGCCAGGACCUGACUUGCCAGUUUUCCUGGAUGAGGGUUAAAUAGGCACUAUUUCAUUAAUUCAUAUAUUCAUUCAUCCAACAGUUGUCAUGAAUUCACCACGCAGUGCUAGAUUCUGAGGGAAAUGUUGAAGUUGCACUCCUCCCGAUGAAGUGAUCUUCCCUCUUCACUUUAAUCCUUCCUGGUACUAUCUCUUGCAGAUGGGCUGGGAUGCCAUUUGCUGGCUCCCACUUGGUGCAUUCUCUCCCUCCCCUAAAUUCCUUCAGUUGUGCUGCUCUGUCUUGUGAUCUUUCAUUGGAUCUUUAACUUGUCAAGGGCAGAGAAUAAUAUCGCUAAGAAAAGGGAAGCAUGUAUACAAAAAUACGUCCAUAUCAACUCUGAGCAGAGUUUUAUACACUGUUAUGUAUUGUUUGUAGGUACUCAGUUAAGCAGUAUGGAAUGAAUGAAUGAAUAUUCAAGUAAGGAGCAAUAUAUUUUAAGUUAAAUGUCUUGGGAUGGCUAUGGGGAGAGGUAAGUCCUAACAGAAGGGUAAGAUUUCAGUUAGUUGACAGAGAUACAAAGUCCUUCUAGAAUGGGAAGUGUUGGGGGUGGGGGGCGCCUGACUGGCUCAAUGGGACAGUCAUGCCACUCUUGAUCUUUGGGUCGUGAGUUCGAGCCUUAUGUUAGGUAUAGAAAUGACUUAAAUAAAUAAUUAAUUAAAUAAGCUUAGAAUGGGAAGUGUUGGAAGAAAAGCAUCUCCUGCUGGAAGUAAAUCUCUGGAGUUAGAAUGUGCAAAAGAACACACCGAGGCUGCAUUAUUCUGCAUUAUUCAGUUUUGUCCCCAGUUUGGCUCCUUGAGGGUGGUCCACCAAUAUCCAUAUAUUUCAUUUAGCGUCACCCAUUCAUUAUAAGAGCUCAUUAACUGUGCGGAAUUUGUAUUAGGUGGUUAAGGCCUUGAGUGACACUUUUAGCACAGUCAAGUUUUCUUCAGAUCACAUACAUUUUCUUGUUCUCUCUGUUUCAUUGUUAUUUUUUGGUUCUUGAGAUUUAUAGGCCCCACACAGUGCCUCAUCUCUUUUGCUUCUGAAAAGACUGAAGUUUCAAGAAUUAGAAGCAGCAUUUAACUUAAGAUUCCUGGGAGUCUGCUUUAUUUUGCAGACUGAUUCCUCAUAAAUUUAUCAUAUAAUAUGAGGGAUAAUCUGGAGAAUUAGAGUGAAGAGAUUCAUGAGUUACUUAUAGUUUAUAAUAAGGGCAAUUUUAACAUCACUUGUUGAAUUGUUUACUUGGUUUUUGACAUUACAUUUAAUGUUUUACAUUGAUUUUUUUUAACUCGCUUGAUCUCAAUAAUAUAUGUAUUGUUGCUAUCCCACUUCACAGAUGAUGAGACUGAGGCUUGAUGGGGAGUGGGUUAAGAAAUUGCCUAGGCCCAUGCAGACAGUAAGCAGUGGACCUGGGAUUUGAAUCCAGGUAAUCUGACUUUAAAGCCCACAUUCUGCAGGUUUUUGCAUCCAUAGCUUCUCUCUCUGACUAGAACUCUUGUCCUGACAGGUAUCUGGAAAGAUUAUGUUCUUUACCUCCCAGGAUCUAGGCAGAUCAGCACAAAUGUGACAUCAAAAUGGCAGAUGACUGGGCUAUUUCAGAGAUGACUCCAGAGAACAUUAUAUUUUUUUUUGUAGGCAGAAUCACUAUUAAUUGUCAUUGAAUUUUUAGGUGAAAUUAUUUGCCAAGUAUUCCAUACUUAGAAUUCCAAGUGUUACAACCUCCAGAACUCUAACAAUGUAUGCACACGUUUAUAUACACAUUCAUAUAUGUGUUUGUGGGUAUAAAUGAUGAGGUAUAUUUGAUUUAAAGUUAAUUAUUUGAAUUAUUUGGGUGUACCAAUCCACUGAACUCUUUCCCAGUUGCUCCUAAACCAAGUUGUUCCCAGGAAAAUCAACUGAAAUUCUUCAAAUGAUCUCUAAGUGGAUCAUUUACUCUUCCAAAGAGCUUUUUUGUUGUUGAUAUUCCCAAGAACAAUCUUCUCUAACUGCAUCUUCUGAAUGCUCAUAGAAUCUUUGGUCUGAAAUCUGAAAAGGUUUAUCUUAUCUAUUCACCCAUACCUGGGCAGGAAAUUAUCUUAGAAGAUUGUAUUUCAAUUUAUAAUGACCUGCAGGGGAUACCAUACCACCUCUCUUGGCAGCUUAUUGCCAUCCCUAAUAAUCUAGGUAGUCAGCAGAUAUUUCCUGAUGUGCAAUCCACAUCUCUCCUGCUGCUUUGGCUCAUUCCAUUUGGUUGUUAUGAUACUGAUGCUAUCCUAUUCGUGGUCCUUUUCUCAAGGCCAGGAAAUCACAGCAUUUAUAACAGAGUCAAUAGCUAUGGUCACAUUCCAGUUUCCUUAAGUGCCUCCAUCUUGAACAGCCCUCUGAGCCCCAAUUUUUAUAAUGUGGCUGAGGAGCUGUGAGAAUGCCAUCUGUUUGCAAGAAUGAGGCCAUUGAUGGCUGUACACUUGACUCUGAAGAUGGCACUACUCAUCCAAAUCGAGAUUUGAGACUUAAAGAAGCUUGCUUGCACAGCUAGGUUGACCCUCGCUUUGUAGGGAGAUGUGACCAUUUGAGAGUAAUUGAAUGGAAUCAUGAGCCUGGCAUGGCAUCUAUAUAGCAUUUUUGUUUAUUGAGUAUAAUUACUAUACUCAGCUUUGUAUAAAGCAUGGGAGUAAUAGGAUCAAAUUAAGGAAACCUACUUAGCUGGAAUAGCAGGGAGGUUCCCUAAUGAAGAGAUCUGAUAGACCAUGGAAUAGUCAUCCCCAGGAAUGCUGGUCUCAUUGAGAUGUGGUUACUUACCAUGGAACUAAAUUGUCCCCCACUGGAUGCAUCUCAAGCCCUUUUCAUUUCGGUUUGUGACUUUGAUUUAAUUGGAAAAGUCUCACAGCUGUUGUUGACUACCUAAGGCUAUGCUUUUCAAAUUCUAGUUGUGGCAGAAUCACCUAGGGAACUUUUUAAAAUGCAGAUUCUUGGGCCCCAUUCUCAGAGAUUCUGUUUCAUUAGGUCUGGGUGUUGUCUUGGAAUCUUCAUGUUUAUUGCAUUUCCUGGGUGAUUCUGAUGUACAUGUGUUGUAAACUCCAUUUUGAAAAACAAUGAGUUAGGGCCACUUUGGGAAGAUUCUCUAUCUUAUAAGAAAUCUUACAAGCAGAGAGACCGGAAAGAGUAAGAGGAAGUGUCAUGCUACCUGACUCUUCAGUUUUACAGCUGACGCAAAAUUGAAACCAUAGAAAUGGAAAACCACGAAGAGAUUAAGUCCAUGUUUGUGGUCCUAUCCCCUCACUUGUCCUUGUUUUGGGUGCCUUUUUCUACGUUUUUUUUAUUCCUGUCUGCCAUUUAUCCCAAGUAAAGUUUUGGCCAAUGAG